AGCGCUGUAGCAAUACAGAGCGGCGCACGGGAGAGUAAUACAUGGGAACCUACCUAAUGGUUCGGGAUAACGUCGGGAAACUGACGCUAAUACCGGAUAAUCCCUUCGGGGCAAAGAUUUAUUGCCGAUAGAUGGGCCCAUGUUGGAUUAGCUAGUUGGUGAGGUAACGGCUCACCAAGGCUACGAUCCAUAGCUGGUCUGAGAGGAUGAUCAGCCUCACUGGGACUGAGACACGGCCCAGACUCCUACGGGAGGCAGCAGUGGGGAAUAUUGGACAAUGGGGGCAACCCUGAUCCAGCCAUGCCGCGUGAGUGAUGAAGGCCUUCGGGUUGUAAAGCUCUUUUGCAGGGGACGAUGAUGACGGUACCCUGAGAAUAAGCCCCGGCUAACUUCGUGCCAGCAGCCGCGGUAAUACGAAGGGGGCUAGCGUUGUUCGGAAUUACUGGGCGUAAAGGGCGCGUAGGCGGCUUGGCAAGUUGGGUGUGAAAGCCCAGGGCUCAACCCUGGAAUUGCACUCAAGACUGCUUUGCUUGAAUUCGGUAGAGGUUGGUGGAAUUCCCAGUGUAGAGGUGAAAUUCGUAGAGAUUGGGAAGAACACCCGUGGCGAA
rnacentral:rRNA from 1 species